rnacentral:misc_RNA from 1 species
GAUGAAGAACGCAGCGAAAUGCGAUAAGUAAUGUGAAUUGCAGAAUUCAGUGAAUCAUCGAAUCUUUGAACGCACAUUGCGCCCGCCAGCAUUCUGGCGGGCAUGCCUGUUCGAGCGUCAUUUCAACCCCUCGGGCCCUGGUGCCCGGCGUCGGGGCGCUUCCCACCCCCGGGAACCCCCCAGAAGCAGUGGCGGACCCGCCGCGGCUCCGAGCGCAGUAGUUAAUAUUUCUCGCUCAGGAGGCCCGUGGGGGGGACUUCGGCCGUUAAACCGGACCCUCGCGUCCACGUACACACAAAGGUUGACCUCGGAUCAGGUAGGAAUACCCGCUGAACUUAAGCAUAUCAAUAAGCGGAGGA